UACGGGGGGGGCAAGCGUUGUUCGGAAUUACUGGGCGUAAAGGGCUCGUAGGCGGCCAACUAAGUCAGACGUGAAAUCCCUCGGCUUAACCGGGGAACUGCGUCUGAUACUGGAUGGCUUGAGUUCGGGAGAGGGAUGCGGAAUUCCAGGUGUAGCGGUGAAAUGCGUAGAUAUCUGGAGGAACACCGGUGGCGAAGGCGGCAUCCUGGACCGACACUGACGCUGAGGAGCGAAAGCAUGGGUAGCGAACAGG
rnacentral:rRNA from 1 species